ensembl:snRNA U6 U6 spliceosomal RNA
GUGCUCACUUUGGCACCACAUAUACUAAAAUUGGAAAGAUGCAGAGAAGAGUAGCAUGGCCCCUGCACAAGAAUGACACACAAAUUCAUGAAGCAUUCCAUAUUUGA